UUCCACUUAUAUAAACAACUCAUUAUAUGUAAUAAUUAUUAUACAUACAAAUAGCUAUUGAUUAAAGGAGUCUUUUUGAUAUUUCUUUGCUUUCUGUGUCCUUAGGGAACAAAACAAUAGAAUUGUAGUGAAAAACUAUAAAUUUAAAUUAUUAAGUCAGUCAUCUGAAUGAAUGAAGAUCAUGUGUUUGUAUAUAUUUAUUUUUCUCUAAGCAGGUUGGCAACAUUGUACAAAUCACCAAGCCAGAAGGAAUCUACAGUACUGUUUCAAAUCACACCUCAGGGAUUUAGAGAUGCUGUUGUUGCUACUGCAUCUUCUUUGCAAACAGAAGGUUCGUUGAAUUCCCGGAAACGGUCACGAGAAUCAGAGGAAGAACAGGAGUCCAAAGACUAGUCUUAAAGUAUACAUAUAUGUUGAUGCUGUGAGAUGUAAUACAUAUAAGCAGUAGACUCUUUACUUUAAAAUAUAAACACACACUAUGGCACAUAUGAAUCAAGAGCAUGUGAAGUGAAGUGAAAAACACGGAAUGAGUAUGAUUCUCUGAAUUUUUCUAAAGCAGCUCUACCAUUAUAUUUUGCCCUGUUUUCAUUUUUAGUAACAGUCAGCAGAGAUGAUACAGGUAUUGUAUUUUUGCAAAUGUGGAAAGCUGAUCUUGUGUGACCAAUCUGAAUUUACCAUUCAGGCUGUUUUUUCCUCUUUUCUUUGUUAAUUGCUUAGAAAAUCCUAGGAAGAAAAGAGUUUGGUUUUUUUUUCACAUUCCUAUUGGGUUCUCCUCUUUAAAUGUAGUUUUGAUAAUUCUUAAGAAUGACUUGUUUUUGAGCCAUCUCUUACUUGGCAUCAUGGCUGCCCUCAGACCUCUAUUGAAGCCCAAUACCAUUAAAAAGAGAAUCAAGAAGUUCAUCCAGCACCAGUCAGACCCAUAUGUCAAAAUUAAGCACAACUGGCGGAAACCCAGAGUCAUGGACAAUAGGGUGCACAGAAGAUUCAAGGGCUAGAUCUUGAUGCCCAAAACUGUUCACAGGAGCAACAAGAAAACAAAGCACAUGCUGCCCUGUGGCUUCUGAAGUUCCUAGUCCACAAUGUCCAGGAGCUUGAGGUGCUCCUGAUAUGCAACAAAUCUUACUGCGCAGAGAUUGCUCACAAUGUCUCCUCCAGGAACCACAAAGCCACUGGAAAGACCAACCCAGCUGGCCAUCUGAGUUACCAGUGCCAAUGCUACUCUGCGCAGCCAAGAAAAUGAAUAGACCGCUUAUGUGCAUGUCGUAUUUGUGUUAAUAAAACCAUAAAACUACAAAAAAAGAAAAAGACUUGUUUUUACUAUUAUAAAGAAAAGCCAGCACCAUGAGUCAGCAUAUUAUUAUAUUCAGUUUUAAUGGUAGGAUACAAAUUUUAGAUGACCAAUCAGAUUUUAGUGACCCCAAUCCUAAAAUCUAAGCCUUUUUUUUUUUUUUUAAUGUUAUUUUAUGUUAAGGGAAGGACUUUGGAGCUGUUACCCUAUCUAGAAAAUGUCUAGAACGUUCAUCUUCCAGAAGAGUCAAGUUGAUAAACUCACAAUUAUUUAUUUCUACAUUUUUGAAACGUGGUGUGAUCCAUUCUAGAAUUCUAGAUGUAUUGACAUUUUCCUUUGAAUAAUCUUAACACUGUUUGAAUAAAUUAAAAAUUUGGA